rnacentral:rRNA from 1 species
UACGUAGGGGGCGAGCGUUGUCCGGAAUCAUUGGGCGUAAAGCGCGUGUAGGCGGCUCGAUAAGUCCGGUGUGAAACCUUGGGGCUCAACCCCAAGCCUGCACUGGAUACUGCCGAGCUAGAGUCCGGGAGGGGAGAGCGGAAUUCCUAGUGUAGCGGUGAAAUGCGCAGAUAUUAGGAAGAACACCGGUGGCGAAAGCGCUCUGCUAGGCCGCAACUGACACUGAGGGACGAAAGCUAGGGGAGCGAAUGGG